ACCCCCGGUUAACUUGCACCACGUCUUGUUGAUUUCAUACUCCCAUAAUCGAGAUACCAAUCUGCAAACCUGAUAUAAAAAUAUUAUUACAAUCUCACGAUUGACAUAAGACGACCCUCAGCACUCGACAUGCAACAAGGGUCGGAUGUCA